CUGUUUUCUGGAAAAUCGGUUGCCGGAAUCCGACGCUUUUGGUUUAAGAAGAAUGUCAUUAUGAGCCUGCACGGUACUCUUCUCUACUGGGCAUUUCUGGACUUGAGAGAACAGAAGUGCUUCUAAAAGAGUGGGAAGAACUUGGGAGUUUUCCUGAAACUCAGCUUUAUCGGCUUGGAUGUCAAGUUGAGGACUAAGUCUGUUCUCUCAUUAAGAUGAUGAUGACUAACCAGGUCCAUGUUGUUGGAGAAACCUAUGGAAUAGUUGGAAGUGCUGCUUUCGCUGGAAGUCAUAUAUGGAUUCAUCGAGAAAACGGCAUGGGGGAAGGUCAUCCAUAUGAGGU